rnacentral:lncRNA from 1 species
UUGCUGCUCUGCGCCGUCGCCCUCGCGGCUCCAGGCUAUGGAGGAUUUGGAGGAGGAUUUGGCCGCGGUGGAUUCGGUGGUUUCGGACAUGGCGGUGGAUUCGGAGGUUUCGGUGGUGGAUUUGGACAUGGCUUCGGCGGUGGCUUCAGACGUGGUUUUGGCCAUGGUGGCUUUGGUGGCUUCGGAGGAGGAUUCCGCGGCUAGUGAGUUACAAAAGACGCUUGGUUCAACUACCAUCGCCUGAUUCAACGAGACGACACAAAUCAACGAUCUUGUCAUGUGUCAAAAUUAUUAAUGAUUAUCCUGUUGUUUUCAUUCGAGUGACAAUAAUAAAAACUCCAACAUA